CAGGAAAGGCAGAAGCCCCAAGUUUGCCCAUCUGGGCAGAGGGAUCCUCCUCCUCUCAUCCCUGGAAUAGAUUUUCUACUGGAACGAAUCUGGAUUUCUCCUGGAAUUAUUGAUUGUUAUUAGUACUGUCCCUGUGUGAGCAAAGCUUUAAGCAGAAUUUUCUCCAGCUGCAUUUAUAUUCUCUUGGAGUUUGUUUUCUACCAUCCACAUUUGACUCCCAGCAUACCUGAUGGCAAAUGAAUUAAGUUCACAUGCUCAACCGUUUGCAUCGGAAGUGAUGGAUUUUACAGGGGACGAGACAUCAAUAGAUCAGGUUUCCUCAAGCCAUUUAGAAGUGCCCGAGUAUAGAGGCAAUUAAAUAAAACAUAUACAGGUCUGACUGCAUUCUUCUCAGCUAGGAACCAGACACAGAAGUGAUUAUGCAAUGCCAGUCACAAAGGUGCUGACAAAAAUUACGCUCAACGAGGCAAGCACAUUUUAUAUGGGAUCAGACACUGUUUAUUAACAAGCACGGGAGUAGCAGGGUCAUACACAGGAAGAGAAGGAAUACAUUUAUACUCUGUUCCCAGCUAAUAAAUUUUAUGGUAGCUUUAAUAUUUUUAGGUAUGCUGCUGAAGGGAAGUGUUAUGAGAGCCAAAGAGAAAGAUUUAAAAUGCUCUAAAAAGCUAUAAUCCUGUUUAUUGGAAUUUUAGUUUAGUGGGUUGCUUGCUCUGAAAUAGGCUCACAAUUAUGCCUCCAUGUAAUGUGAAUUAAACACAUCUAUCUGACCAAGGGAAAGAAAUGGUAAAUUAGGACUAGCAAUGAUUAAUAAUCAAUACAGCACAGAUUCCAGAAAUAAUUCAGCAAAAUGUUUUGCUAUUUGUCACAAACUGCACUUGAACUGAAGCAGAAAAAUCAAGCAAACCCUAUCAGCUGCCAUGCCAAGUGAAAAACUUGAGAAGCUUCCACAAAACAUGCAGGUUAAAUUAAUUGGAGGCAGUAUUCACCCUUAGGCAUCACUGCUUACCAAACUCCAGGAACUGGCUGGGAUCCCUGGGAAGUGUGGAUGUGGUGCCUCAGAGAACAGCUCCUCAGCCCCUGCCUCUACAGCAACAUCUGCUCCACCAUCACAGAGGCCACCAAAGAAGCCUGCUUAGUCUGUCUUGACUCCCCCCCCAGACUUUUGGCUGGUUUCAGUGAGCAGUCAGAUGCUUACAGGGACUCUGCCCAUCCACAUGCACACAAAUGACCUCUUUCCUUUGGGUCGUUUAUCCAGAUUAGGAAAUAUCUUUGGAUCAAGCCUUGUCUUGCAAAGACAAAGAGUUGCAGACUUUAGUUAUUAUUUCAGCUCUCUAGUUGGUAAAACAGUCUGAUGCUUCUGGGUGCCUCGAGCACAA